GAUGAACGCUAGCGAUAGGCUUAACACAUGCAAGUCGAGGGGCAGCAUGGUCUUAGCUUGCUAAGACUGAUGGCGACCGGCGCACGGGUGCGUAACGCGUAUGCAACUUGCCUCACAGAGGGGGAUAACCCGUCGAAAGACGGACUAAUACCGCGUACACUUGGGAUAGGGCAUCCUGACCCAAGGAAAUGAAAUUCGCUGUGAGAUAGGCAUGCGUCCCAUUAGCUAGUUGGUGAGGUAACGGCUCACCAAGGCGACGAUGGGUAGGGGAACUGAGAGGGUGAACCCCCACACUGGUACUGAGACACGGACCAGACUCCUACGGGAGGCAGCCGUGAGGAAUAUUGAUCAAUGGGCGAGAGCCUGAACCAGCCAAGUCGCGUGAAGGAUGACUGUCUUAUGGAUUGUAAACUUCUUUUAUACGGGAAUAACAAGAGCCACGUGUGGCUCCCUGCAUGUACCGUAUGAAUAAGCAUCGGCUAACUCCGUG
rnacentral:rRNA from 1 species